CNCUGGCGGCAUGCCUUACACAUGCAAGUCGAACGGCAGCACGGGUGCUUGCACCUGGUGGCGAGUGGCGAACGGGUGAGUAAUACAUCGGAACAUGUCCUGUAGUGGGGGAUAGCCCGGCGAAAGCCGGAUUAAUACCGCAUACGAUCUGAGGAUGAAAGCGGGGGACCUUCGGGCCUCGCGCUAUAGGGUUGGCCGAUGGCUGAUUAGCUAGUUGGUGGGGUAAAGGCCUACCAAGGCGACGAUCAGUAGCUGGUCUGAGAGGACGACCAGCCACACUGGGACUGAGACACGGCCCAGACUCCUACGGGAGGCAGCAGUGGGGAAUUUUGGACAAUGGGCGAAAGCCUGAUCCAGCAAUGCCGCGUGUGUGAAGAAGGCCUUCGGGUUGUAAAGCACUUUUGUCCGGAAAGAAAUCCUUGGUUCUAAUAUAGCCGGGGGAUGACGGUACCGGAAGAAUAAGCACCGGCUAACUACGUGCCAGCAGCCGCGGUAAUACGUAGGGUGCAAGCGUUAAUCGGAAUUACUGGGCGUAAAGCGUGCGCAGGCGGUUUGCUAAGACCGAUGUGAAAUCCCCGGGCUCAACCUGGGAACUGCAUUGGUGACUGGCAGGCUAGAGUAUGGCAGANGGGGGUAGAAUUCCACGUGUAGCAGUGAAAUGCGUAGAGAUGUGGAGGAAUACCGAUGGCGAA
rnacentral:rRNA from 1 species